rnacentral:rRNA from 1 species
AUUGAACGCUGGCGGCAGGCCUAACACAUGCAAGUCGAGCGGUAGCACAGGGAGCUUGCUCCUGGGUGACGAGCGGCGGACGGGUGAGUAAUGUCUGAGAAACUGCCUGAUGGAGGGGGAUAACUACUGGAAACGGUAGCUAAUACCGCAUACCGUCGCAAGACCAAAGAGGGGGAUAUUCGGGACUCUUGCCAUCAGAUGUGCCCAGAUGGGAUUAGCUAGUAGGUGGGGUAAUGGCUCACCUAGGCGACGCUCCCUAGCUGGACUGAGAGGAUGACCAGCCACACUGGAACUGAGACACGGUCCAGACUCCUACGGGAGGCAGCAGUGGGGAAUAUUGCACAAUGGGCGCAAGCCUGAUGCAGCCAUGCCGCGUGUAUGAAGAAGGCCUUCGGGUUGUAAAGUACUUUCAGCGGGGAGGAAGGUGUUGAGGUUAAUAACCUCAGCAAUUGACGUUACCCGCAGAAGAAGCACCGGCUAACUCCGUGCCAGCAGCCGCCGUAA